rnacentral:rRNA from 1 species
UACGUAGGGGGCGAGCGUUAUCCGGAAUUAUUGGGCGUAAAGAGUACGUAGGUGGUUUUGUAAGCGAGAGGUGAAAGCCCGGGGAUUAACUCCGGCGAGCCUCCCGAACUGCAAGACUUGAGUGCAGGAGGGGAAAGUGGAAUUCCUAGUGUAGCGGUGAAAUGCGUAGAUAUUAGGAGGAACACCGGUGGCGAAGGCGACUUUCUGGACUGUAACUGACACUGAGGUACAAAAGCGUGGGGAGCAAACA